rnacentral:rRNA from 1 species
UACGUAGGGUGCAAGCGUUAAUCGGAAUUACUGGGCGUAAAGCGUGCGCAGGCGGUUCUCCAAGUCCGUUGUGAAAGCCCCGGGCUCAACCUGGGAAUGGCAGUGGAAACUAGGGGACUGGAAUCUGGCAGAGGGGGGUGGAAUGCCGCGUGUAGCAGUGAAAUGCGUAGAGAUGCGGCGGAACACCGAUGGCGAAGGCAGCCCCCUGGGCUGAGAUUGACGCUGAGGAACGAAAGCCAGGGGAGCAAACGGG